rnacentral:rRNA from 1 species
GGGUUGUGAGGUUAAGCGACUAAGCGUACACGGUGGAUGCCCUGGCAGUCAGAGGCGAUGAAGGGCGUGCUAAUCUGCGAUAAGCGCCGGUAAGGUGAUAUGAACCGUUAUAACCGGCGAUACCCGAAUGGGGAAACCCAGUGUGAUUCGUCACACUAUCAUUAACUGAAUCCAUAGGUUAAUGAGGCGAACCGGGGGAACUGAAACAUCUAAGUACCCCGAGGAAAAGAAAUCAACCGAGAUUCCCCCAGUAGCGGCGAGCGAACGGGGAGGAGCCCAGAGCCUGAAUCAGCAUGUGUGUUAGUGGAAGCGUCUGGAAAGGCGCGCGAUACAGGGUGACAGCCCCGUACACAAAAGCGCAUAUGCUGUGAGCUCGAUGAGUAGGGCGGGACACGUGGUAUCCUGUCUGAAUAUGGGGGGACCAUCCUCCAAGGCUAAAUACUCCUGACUGACCGAUAGUGAACCAGUACCGUGAGGGAAAGGCGAAAAGAACCCCGGCGAGGGGAGUGAAAAAGAACCUGAAACCGUGUACGUACAAGCAGUGGGAGCCCCACCACUAAGCCAGUGGUGAACUCCACAUACGCAUCCUUUGCUGAGGAGACGGUUAACGGAGCGAAAGCGACGUUCAACCUCAAAAGAAGCAGAGGGGGCUUAGUGGUGGGGUGACUGCGUACCUUUUGUAUAAUGGGUCAGCGACUUAUAUUCUGUAGCAAGGUUAACUGUAUAGGGGAGCCGGAGGGAAACCGAGUCUUAACCGGGCGUUAAGUUGCAGGGUAUAGACCCGAAACCCGGUGAUCUAGCCAUGGGCAGGUUGAAGGUUGGGUAACACUAACUGGAGGACCGAACCGACUAAUGUUGAAAAAUUAGCGGAUGACCUGUGGCUGGGGGUGAAAGGCCAAUCAAACCGGGAGAUAGCUGGUUCUCCCCGAAAGCUAUUUAGGUAGCGCCUCGUGAAUUCAUCUCCGGGGGUAGAGCACUGUUUCGGCUAGGGGGCCAUCCCGGCUUACCAACCCGAUGCAAACUGCGAAUACCGGAGAAUGUUAUCACGGGAGACACACGGCGGGUGCUAAUGUCCGUCGUGAAGAGGGAAACAACCCAGACCGCCAGCUAAGGUCCCAAAGUCAUGGUUAAGUGGGAAACGAUGUGGGAAGGCCCAGACAGCCAGGAUGUUGGCUUAGAAGCAGCCAUCAUUUAAAGAAAGCGUAAUAGCUCACUGGUCGAGUCGGCCUGCGCGGAAGAUGUAACGGGGCUAAACCAUGCACCGAAGCUGCGGCAGCGACACCGUGUGUUGUUGGGUAGGGGAGCGUUCUGUAAGCCUGUGAA